rnacentral:tRNA from 1 species
GAGCAAGAAGCGAAAAAUCGCAACCAGUUUCGACCUGGAUUUAUUGGUAUAUUUCUUACCCUUACUUU